GCCCCUGCAACUCUAGAGGCAGAGCCACGACCUUGAGUCUCCUCAUUGCCCUCUAUGCAGCUUCUUAAGAGCAGCAUGCAGAGAUGUGGUUGUUUGCAGCUGGCUGAUUCUGUGCUGAUUGGCGGUCUUCUGUGCUCAGGAGCACAGGAGCAAAGACUACAGCCAUAAGAGAACAGGUGAUGAUAUAACGAAGUGCACAGCUUCUCUUAGGUGGACAGGAGCCCAGCCAAAGGGCUCCAAACCAUGUGAGAGGUGCAAUUGGCUACCAGAGACAGAAUCAAAAGAAACAAUGCCUUGACAGACUGGAAUGUGGAGCUAAGAAAGGG
rnacentral:lncRNA from 1 species